UACGUAGGUGGCAAGCGUUGUCCGGAUUUAUUGGGCUUAAAGGGUGUGUAGGUGGUCUAUUAAGUCAGUGCUGAAAUAUCCCGGCUUAACCGGGAGGGUGGCAUUGAUACUGAUGGACUUGAGUAGAGUCGAGGUAGGCGGAAUUGACGGUGUAGCGGUGAAAUGCUUAGAUAUCGUCAAGAACACCUAUAGCGAAGGCAGCUUACUAGGCUCUAACUGACACUGAGGCACGAAAGUGUGGGGAUCAAACAGG
rnacentral:rRNA from 1 species